rnacentral:rRNA from 1 species
CGCCUUUUGAAUUAUAAACAUAAAAGGUCCUGCCUGCCCAGUGACACUUGUUUCAACGGCCGCGGUAUUAUGACCGUGCAAAGGUAGCGUAAUCACUUGUCUUUUAAAUAAAGACCAGUAUGAAUGGCAAGACGAGAGCUUAACUGUCUCCCUAAGUUGGUCAAUAAAAUUGAUUUUCCCGUGCAGAAGCGGGAAUAAUAAUAUAAGACGAGAAGACCCUGUGGAGCUUCAAACUUAAACUAACAACACAAUGCCUUAGUACCAGUUUUGGGUUGGGGCGACCGUGAGGUAAAACAUAACCCUCAAGACAAAAACUAAGAAGGACACUUCAAAUAAAUAUAAUAAUGUAAUUGACCCAAUAAUUGAUCAACGAACCAAGUUACCCCAGGGAUAACAGCGCAAUCUACUCAAAGAGCCCUUAUCGAAGAGCAGGUUUACGACCUCGAUGUUGGAUCAGGACCCCCAAAUAAUGCAACAGUUAUUAAAGGUUCGUUUGUUCAACGAUUAAAGUCCU